GAGAGACAGGAAAAGGAGAUCGCCAUGAGAUUCGAUCGAUACGAGCGACCCUGACGGUCAUGGUGAAUACGAAGCUAAGACGAGGUCUCACGAGCCCCAUAAGGAAACGCAUCUCGAUCCCUUGUUCCUGCGAUUUCUCUGGUUCACCUCGUGCAAAAAGGAAACGUGUCGUCUAUGAAGAACUCGCCGGAUGACAUUGGCCGCAAGUCGGUGUUUUGCUUUCGUUCCACUUCUAUCUUGUUUUUGGAACGCACGAAUUCGUGAUUUAUUUAACUAUUAAAUGACACGGGACUUGACCAUCUAUAUUCGAUCAAAUCUGUUCGCAGUAUUCGUUGCAAAAAAACACGUUGCAUCAUCUAGCAAGAGAUCACGCUCGGCCUCGAGAGGUUGUUUUCCACGAGAAGGCUUGUGGAUACGAAGAUGGUUUACUUACAAUGUUUUCUUUCAAGUACUAUUUAGGAAAUGCAAAAUGCUGCUUUGAAAUUUAAUUAAGAAAGUAUGUUCGUUUGAACAUUACCGAAGUGGUUGAGUUAAGAAUGAUUUUAAGAUUAUUUAGAUAUAUUUAAUGAAAAUUAUGAAAAUUAUAUAUUUUAUAACAUGUAGGAUUAUAUAUUUUAUAUUUUUUAAUCUUCAUUGAAUUUAUUUAUCACUGAAUCAUUGAAAUUUACAUUAUUAUAUUAAUAUUAAGAUAUGAGAUAUAAUAUUAUAUCUUAAUUGAAAUUAUUUCUCUUAUAUAAACAAAUGAGAAUUUUUUUUUAGAGUACCAAUUUGCAUGAUCAAUAAUAAAUAUAUAAUUAAGAAUAUGAAAAUGAAGAAUUUGAUAUUCUGAAUAUUAAUUUGAAUAUGCAUCAAUUAAUUAGAAAAUUAAAAAAAAAUAUAUAUAUAUAUAUAUAUUAUAUCCAGUAUUAAAUAGAAUGUAAAUAAAAUAUUUUCUAUAACAAGAAAAAUAAUAUAUAAAUAUCAAAUGUAAAAAAGAUUUAAAUUUUGAAAAUAUGAAUCUAAUCACAUUGAACAACUUCAAGACAUUAUAAUGAUAAAAUGAGUGGAAUCCGUAUUAAAUUUAGACGAACCAUGGCGAUGAUUGACCGAAAAAAAAUAGAAAACCACUUGAUACACGUGUUUACGCGACGCCUACUCAAUUAUUCUUGACCUAGAUAUAAGCAAAGGGCGGGCUUAGCAAAUACUUCCUUUUCUUAUUAGAUUAGAGCACUGCCCUUUCAUGAAAUGGAUAUCGAUAUCACGCGAGCUUUUUAUUUAUGAUUCGUUCACAUAAUGGAAAUUUCUAUCAUGAGAUACAACCAAUAUACAUAUGAACAGAUUUCUAUUCAUAAAUUUAUAAAGAUUAAUAUCUCAUAUAAUCUCAAAGUAAUAUUUUUGUAAAGUAAAUGUUAUGAAUUUCCAACAAAACUAGUAGACAUAAUACAAUUUUGAAAGCUUUUAUACAUAAAACUAAAUUUUUUUUAUCUACAAACCUUUGAGAAAUGAUAAUUCUAUAUAUCUAAAUUGAUCUCAUGUUAAGAUAUACAAGGAUCUUAUUAGUGAUUAAACUUCAUGACAAAUUAAUCUUAAAAAUCAAUAAUAUUAUACAUACUUUAAAUAUAGACAUUAUAUGAAAUACACUUUUAGAUAUGGUAAUGAAACUAGAGAGAGAAAAGAAAAGCUGUGCAGCCAUCUUUAUAAUAUAUUAAUUGAUGGUAUUAUACAAACAAAUUUAAUUAUUAACAGUUAUAAUUAAUAAGUUAUAAUUAAUAAUUAUCAGUAUAUGUAAUAGUUUUUCUUAAAGUUAUAAAGUUUAUUGCCAUUUAUCAUUAUUUGACACACAAAUAUAGCUUAUAAAUAUAAUAUAAAUUCAUAAUUUUAUAUAUGUAUUGAUGCGUUUUUCAGUUUGAAUGCCAACUUGUAGAAUCUGUAAUAAUGUUAGAAAAAUUUCGCUUAGAUUAAAAAUAUUAACAUGCAUUCUGUGACUAAUUGAUAGUUUUUAUAGAGGUUAUGUGCUGAUUAAAUGUACGACGAGUCAUCACUGAUUUAUGAAGGAUCUCUUUAAAAUCUUUGAAAUAAAUAUGGACACAUGAACAAAGUAUAAUCGAUGGAUCAAAGCGAAUAUCAUUGUUUUUUUAAUAUAAAAGUUACAAUAUACAAUAUUUGAAUUGAUCUAUUCAGGUACACAGUUUUCUUCCAUUUCAUUAAAUAAACUUCAAUACAAAAUCGUAAAAUUUUUUAGAAUAUUAGCACUUAUUGACUGAUCUACAUAUAAUAGUGAGAAAUUGUAAUGUAAGUUUUUUCAUACUAGUUUAAAGUCUAUUGUAUACUAUUGGAUACGUCGUACAAUAAAGACGAUCGCGUAGUGAUAGUAAGUCGUCAUCAGAAUUUCCAAUUCAGAUCUUUAUCACGACAUUCCUUUAUUUGUGCAGCAUUCGUCACGAUCAAGUCAGGUGCAGCGUCGUUAGCGACGUGGAAUACCGAUAUCUUGUCGCGUGUCGCUUCUUUCGUAACCGAUUUCCGCGUUCACUAAGGAAACAGGAAAAAUAAUUGCAUUGUAUUUUCUUUAAUUCGCGAAGAAAGGGAAAAUAUUUUUCACGUGCCGUUCUUGAAUUUCGAUUCCUCAUUUAUUCAUCAUGAUAUUAAAUUUUCGAUCUUUAAUAACUUUGAAAAAUUUUCUAGAUAAAUUACUUAGAAUUUUAUUGCUUUCAAUUAUUAUUAAAUUUUUUUUAUUUUUAUAAUCCUAAUAUAAUUACAAAUAAUAUGAGUCAUUCUUUUUAAAGUUUUAAUUUAACUUGUUUCAUUAUACAAAAUUUAACAUUGUAAUCAUUUAAUGAAUUUUAUAUUUUAAAAAUAAAUUAACAAUCUUUCUCUAAUGAUUAAUGCAAGAAUUUUUUUAACAGAUUGACGACGAUAUUUUUUCCUCAGGUACACCUCUAUUUUUAUUUUCUUAAUUACAUAUUGUGAUUUCUUCGAGUGAUAAACGAAAAAGAAAAAGAAAAAAUAGAAGCAAAGGAAAAAAAAUUUAUGGAUGAACUGAUUUAGAUAAAUAAGAUAGAGAGAUACAAGAGAGAAAAAUAGAAAUGAUUAUUCGUGAAUGGACCACGAAAAUCAAUAGAAAAAAGCAAAAGGAUGAUCACGGCGAGGGAAAAGUAAAAGGAGGCCAACAGUCGCGAUCACGACUGUGAACCAUGAAAAUAUGUAUGCACAAAGUGCGCAGCAAAAUAAAGUGUUUCAUAAACAUAGAAAAA